AUUUCUUCUUAAGGACCGUGUUAUGGAGUUGCUGAAUGGAGUAGAAACUCUAAUUUCGGGCCUUCAUCAUCACCAUCGUACUAACGCAAAGAGAAACAGAAGAGCCAGAUCUGUCAAGAUCUUAAACUCAGGGAAUCAUCAAAUCCCCAGAAAGUGCCAGUGUUUUGAUCUUUACGACCAAUUGGUUCCAUACAAGAACGCUUGGUCAUGGCAGAAGAGCAUUGUCGAGGAGAAAAAGACAUUGAUUGAUAGAAACCAAGACUGCCCCGAUACAGUGAUUUUAUUACAACAUUCUCCUGUUUACACAAUGGGAACUGCUAGUACAGAGGAUUAUCUCAAUUUCGACAUAAAGGAUGCUCCUUUCGAUGUUUAUCGAACUGAACGUGGUGGCGAAGUCACUUACCAUGGCCCUGGUCAGCUAGUUAUGUAUCCUAUAAUCAAUCUUCGAAAUCACGAGAUGGAUCUUCAUUGGUACCUCAGGAUGCUUGAAGAGAUUGUCAUCCGUGUGCUUUCCUCAAGUUUCUCCAUUAAAGCUUCUCGUCUUGACAGUUUAACUGGAGUUUGGGUUGGUAGCCAAAAGGUGGCGGCGAUAGGUAUUCGUGUGUCGAAAUGGAUAACAUAUCAUGGUUUAGCUCUUAAUGUCACAACAGAUCUAACACCAUUCAACUGGAUAGUUCCAUGUGGGAUUAAAGACCGAAAAGUUGGAAGCAUAAAAGGCUUGCUUGAAGAUGGAGAACACGGAAAGGUUGAUGAUUUGACGUUGAUUCAUGUAGCUCACGAGUCUUUACUAAAGGAAUUCUCUGAAGUUUUCCAGCUUCAAAUCGAAAAGCAAGCAGUUCCAGAUCCUAAAAUUCUGAAAGCUGAGCCUUUCAAACGAUUGGAGUGCUAAAAGGAAGGUGUUAUUGGUAGAACAUAAUCCUGGCAAUCUCUAUACCAUUCUUGUCUCUUUGGUAGUGAAGAAUCGUAGUAGCUGGAAACCAAAUAGUUACUCGCCUAAGAUUCCGUCCUUCGAGCCCCUUAAGAUGGUGCAUAAAAAUCAGUUUGUAUCCGAAUUUUCCAAUAAGCAUAUUCUUGUGCGUGCUGCAUUUUGUCAUUUGCUGUAAGUGAAGGCCAAGCCAAUGCGUUAAGAGAGAAAGUUUCCACAGUUAACCUGUUUGCUGAUGGAGAUCCAUGUGCUAAGUAUGACCAUCAUCAAUGAUCCCUUUGCAGCUUGGUUCCUCGGAUCACAGGAAUACGACAAGUGGAGCGGUUCCAAUUGUUUCCAGCAAGUGAUGUCGAUCUAACUUAAUGCUUUCACCGCUUUUCUAGUUAACAUAUGGAAAAAAAACAUUAGAACUUUUGCUAGCUUUGGAUUGAUCGAUUGGUAUCUUCAGAAACUGCGGUGGUUCGUACGCGUGUCUCAACUUGGGAAAAAAAACGGUCAUCUGACUUUUAAUAAACCUAGUCGAUCCCCGCGGAUGCAACUCUCGAGGAAUCUACUACGCUGGCACAAUCGCAAUUUCUCCACUGCCACGUGCUGUUGAUAAACAUCGCGUGCCUCUCCAUUUCAUCUCCACCUGCUCCAUAGUUCAACACAAAUGUUCUUUCUGCUUUCGAUACCCUUACUUUUCAGUUUCCACAGUCCCUAUACUUGUGCAUAAAACUGUAAAACACUACUCUGAAAAUUCUGCUUCUGUUAGGGAUAUAA